CUCGCAUACACCAUCGUAGAGAGUUUUUUUUUUUUUUUUGAAACAAACUAUUUUCACCAAUCUUAUUAGAAUGUUUUUCGAUCAAUUCUACGAGAUGUGUAUAUUUUGAUUGACAAAUCGAGAAAUUUUGACAUUUUUUGCAUACCAAUUUCGAAGCAUGAAUACUAAUGCCUACAAAGCAAUCCAUUUGUUAUGAACCAGCGAUUUUCUAUGAAUAUAUUUUAGGUGAGUUUGAUUUCAGUUUUUUCAAUCAUUAUGGAGUCGUUCAAGUUUUAUUUUCUAUACCUUAAAAUCUUAGACGAAUAUGUACUUUUGAGUUAGGAUUUUUAAAUAGGAACUACUUCCUAUCUUUUUGAUUAAAGAUUUGAAUAAAGAAUUUUUUUUUUUUUUUAAAUAUAAUAUUGAAUUUACGGUUUAUAAGUUAUAACAGUUUAAAAUUUUGACCGUAGAAGGGAAAUAAGUUCUAUACCUAUUUUUAGAUGAAAAAUGCAUACCUCUCCCCUCUUCCUCCGGUCUAAACUUUAAACUUUUAUAAUUCAAAAACGAAAAAUCUGAUAUUAGUGUUAUACAUUAUUUUUAGAAAAUUAUCCGUUAUUUGAAUCUAUGGGAUUAAAAGAGGAGUUGCUAUUUAAAUAUCCAAAGUGUAAACUCAUUUCAGAUAUAGAAGGUAUGGAUAAGAAAUUUAAAAUAGUGAUAAAAUAAAGCUUAAACGAUUGUAAAACGAUUAAAAAAAUAAUAAUAAUAAUCAAAUUUACUUAAAAUACUUCGAGAAAAUCACAGGUUCGUAAUGGCUCACCCUGUACACAAAAUUAAUUUUUGGGACAAUAUGGAAAUACGACGACGUAUUGAUUUUACGGUAUAAUAAUAUUAUUAUAAAAGCGUUUCGUUUAACAUGGUAGUAUGUACCUUUAUACACGAAAUAGUGUAGGAUUUAUCUCGACGGAUAUAUUGAAAUGUAAUUCAAGAAUAUUGAAACGUUAUAGUAUUGCAUAGUCAUUAUUCGAUUCCGCUGUUGUUAACUUCUACUUCAGAAAAAUAAAAGGUAGGUAUAUUAAAUGGGUACCUAAUGUACUUACCUAUACAAUAAUGUUUUACAACGGACGAUCACGUUAACCAGGCGGCUUGUGAGAUUUGCAAAUGCAGUGUGGUAAAUAUUUCGGAGAUGGGAUUACAUGGACAGGGCAUGUAUAAUAUACCUAUACCUAUAAUCAAAUACAUACAAAAUGAAGACACGGAGCUGUUAUUAUAAUUUGUUGAUUUCAUUGACUUCAGUUUUCAGUAUGAUUUUACAAAUUUGAACACAUGUUAAUACUUAUACAUAUUUUUCUGAAACCGAUCAAUACUAUAUUUUAAACGAAACUAAUUGUUUUAAUUUUUUGAAAUUAUGAUAUUUGUAUGAUAAACUAAUUAUAUUUUUAUUGUAGACGAAAGAGCGCUUCCGGCAAGCCACUACUGACGUUACGAUGUAAAUCCGGUGAUUGCAAAAUUGCGGCCAUCGCGAACGAAAUUAUAACCGAAGUUUGUGAUGGUCACGCUCGUGGCAAAUGUGAGUGCUGGCGUGCAAACAAGAACAGACGAUUGUGCAUUGUGAUUUCUAAGAAAAUGUAUAAUUUUCGUAAAUUUAUUGAAAUAACAUGAAUAGAAAUAUAGCAUACAAAAUAAUUUGUACUCUGGAAAAGCACAUAACUUAAUUACUAUUUGUACACAAAGUAUAAAAAAUAUACGUAAUACUUACACC
rnacentral:lncRNA from 1 species